rnacentral:misc_RNA from 1 species
CAACCCUUAAGCCCCCGUUGCUUAGCGUUGGGAGCCUACAGUCCGCUGUAGCUCCCCAAAGUCAGUGGCGGAGUCGGUUCAAGCUCUAGACGUAGUAAAUCUUUUAUCUCGCCUAUAGAUGCGCCGGUCCCCUGCCAUAAAACACCCCAAUUUUUUA